rnacentral:rRNA from 1 species
UACGGAGGGUGCGAGCGUAUCCGGAUUUACUGGGUUUAAAGGGUGUGUAGGCGGAUAAUUAAGUCAGUGGUGAAAUCUUCAGGCUCAACCUGGAAACUGCCAUUGAUACUAUUUAUCUUGAAUACUGUGGAGGUGAGCGGAAUGUGUCAUGUAGCGGUGAAAUGCAUAGAGAUGACACAGAACACCGAUUGCGAAGGCAGCUCACUACGCAGUGAUUGACGCUGAGGCACGGAAAGCGUGGGGAUCAAACAGG